CGCUGGCGGCAUGCCUUACACAUGCAAGUCGAACGGCAGCACGGGAGCAAUCCUGGUGGCGAGUGGCGAACGGGUGAGUAAUAUAUCGGAACGUGCCCAGUCGUGGGGGAUAACGUAGCGAAAGCUACGCUAAUACCGCAUACGAUCUACGGAUGAAAGCGGGGGACUCGCAAGAGCCUCGUGCGAUUGGAGCGGCCGAUAUCAGAUUAGGUUGUUGGUGAGGUAAAAGCUCACCAAGCCUGCGAUCUGCAGCUGGUCUGAGAGGACGACCAGCCACACUGGAACUGAGACACGGUCCAGACUCCUACGGGAGGCAGCAGUGGGGAAUUUUGGACAAUGGACGAAAGUCUGAUCCAGCAAUGCCGCGUGCAGGACGAAGGCCUUCGGGUUGUAAACUGCUUUUGUACGGAACGAAACGGUCUGCUUUAAUACAGUGGGCUAAUGACGGUACCGUAAGAAUAAGCACCGGCUAACUACGUGCCAGCAGCCGCGGUAAUACGUAGGGUGCGAGCGUUAAUCGGAAUUACUGGGCGUAAAGCGUGCGCAGGCGGUUAUAUAAGACAGAUGUGAAAUCCCCGGGCUCAACCUGGGACCUGCAUUUGUGACUGUAUAGCUAGAGUACGGUAGAGGGGGAUGGAAUUCCGCGUGUAGCAGUGAAAUGCGUAGAUAUGCGGAGGAACACCGAU
rnacentral:rRNA from 1 species